AACUUUUGACAACGGAUCACUUGGCUCUCGCAUCGAUGAAGAACGCAGCGAAAUGCGAUAAGUAAUGUGAAUUGCAGAAUGCAGUGAAUCAUCGAAUCUUUGAAGGCACCUUUCGCCCAUUGUCAUUACGAACGGUAUGCUCGUUUGAGUGUCAUUGUACUCUCAUGCCCCCGAUUCUUUUGGAUCGGGAGUGGUUGACUUGCGUGUUGCUGCUUUACUGUGGCUCACCUCAAAUGGAGUAGUGCAACUCUUGGUUGGACAUAGUACGGCGUGAUAAGUGUUUUCGCCGGCGCCUCAUUAGAGGGUGGCCGAUCGGGAGCUCUGUGCUUCAAACCGUCUUCGGACAACAUCUGACAACUUGACCUCAAAUCGAGUAGGAUUACCCGCUGAACUUAAGCAUAUCAAUAAGCGGAGGCU
rnacentral:misc_RNA from 1 species